GUGGGCUACUGAAACUAAUGACUGGUCCAAUGCACAGUGCCACUGGUAACAGACCUACAAGGGUGCCUUCUUUCCUGAUGGCUGGUUAGUUUUCCCAGAGCCCGCCAUAGCAAAUUCCCACAGUCACUGUUCCACAUGUUUGCAGACCUGCAGAAGAGCUUGGGUUCACGUCACUUGGAACACUGGUAACAAGCAUUUUGUGGCUUCCCAGCCUGGGCAUUGAACUGGGGAGAAAUGAAAUCGGGAGAAACCAGGCAGAGGAGCUAACACGAGGGGUUGAUGUACAACUUCUUCAGGAACUUGUCAAACCUCAUUAGUAACUUCAGUACUUCUUGCUUUGGUUCUGUUACCUGGCGCAAUGGAAGAGCCAUGGCACAAAGACUGGAUUUGGGGACAUGCUGUGUCUGAGGUGCUGGACAAUGAGAUCUGCUUCUGCCUGGGCUUUUGGGCAGACCGGAGCAGACCGAGGGCAGAUAGCAGCUUUUGGGGGGGUCCUGCGGAGGCUGACUUUAGUUAGUAUGACAGGACGGGCAGAGGCCACGCUGCGAAUCUCCCCGUGGAAGAGCUGCCGUGGGCAAGGCCAGGCGGCCGGAAGGAUGCAGGGAUGGAGGAGGCCUCGGAUGGGACGCGCUGCCGAAAGGCGCCGUUCCAAGGGCACCCUGCAGGCGAUGCAGGAGCCAUGGAAACCGAGAAGCGACGACCUUCACUCCCACAAGUGCCAGAGUCAAUGCCGACGCCAGCGCCGCCCCUUCCCGGUAACCGCGCCCCACCAGCGGCCGCUCCCGCAGCGCGCCUGCGGGACAUGCGCGGACCCUGCCGCGCUCCUGCCCCGUGUCCCUCCCCCCCGCCUCUUCCUUCCCGCCUUUGCCAUGGCGACACCGAGUGGCCUGAUCCGGGCCCUACACCGCGGGACCCUCGGCCAGAAUGUGGUCGUGGAUCGGAUUUUCUCGGGUAUCCAGCCAACUGGGACCCCUCAUCUGGGUAACUACCUUGGAGCCAUUCAGAACUGGGUGAAUCUGCAGGAAGAGUGCAGCUCGGUGCUCUAUAGCAUUAUGGACCUGCACUCUCUCACCAUGCCCAAGGAGCCAGCUGUCCUGCGCCAGAACAUCCUGGACACCACUGCUGCCAUCCUUGCCUGUGGGAUUGACCCAAAGAAAUGUCUCCUGUUCCGGCAGUCACUGGUUCCUGAGCAUGCAGAACUUGCCUGGAUUCUUGGGUGCUUAACUAAUGUGCCACGUCUGCUGCGUUUGCCCCAGUGGAAGAUGAAGCGUGCCAGCCAGAAUAGCGAAGGAACUGUUGGCUUGUUGACUUACCCUGUGCUUCAAGCAGCAGAUAUUUUGCUGUACAAGUCAACACGUGUUCCUGUUGGAGAAGAUCAAGUCCUGCACCUGGAACUAGCCCAAGAUAUAGCACAACAUUUCAACAAGAAAUAUGGAGAAUUCUUUCCUGUGCCCAAAGCCAUUUUAAGUACUACAAAGAAAAUAAAAUCCCUGAGAGAUCCAUCGGCGAAGAUGUCCAAGUCAGACCCGCAGAAGUUAGCCACUGUUAACAUAGCAGACAGCCCAGAUGAGAUAGUGCUGAAAUUUCGCAAAGCUGUGACUGACUUUACCUCGGAGGUGACCUACGAGCCCGCCGCUCGCCCCGGUGUCUCCAAUCUGGUGUCCAUUCACGCUGCAGUAACGGGGCUUAGCAUCAAAGAGGUGCUGCACCAAGCCACUGGUCUCGACACUGCUCACUACAAAAUGGUGGUAGCAGAGUCGGUUAUCCAAAAAUUUGCACCUAUCAGGAAUGAAAUCAAGAAGCUCCAGGAAGACAAGUCUCAUCUGGUUAAGGUUUUAGAGGAUGGAGCAGAGAAAGCCAAAGAACUGGCUGCUCCUAUCUAUCAAGAAAUAAGGAGACUGGUGGGAUUUCAAUAGAAGCUGCUGAGUAGUUGCAAGGACUUUUGUAUCAUGGGACAGAGAUUUUGUUAUUUGUAACAAAAUCAUUUAUUAAUUAUUAAUAAUUUUGGUUUGAAACAAGAACUUUUCUUCAUGGAAGAUCCAAGGCGAACGUUGAAGAUGAUUGCAUUAAAAAAUGUGCAUAAAGCCAGGUAUUGCCAGUGGGACCAGCAUUAAGUUUGUCUGGCUAGUCAAAGCGGGAGGACAGAAGCAAUCACAAUUCACAAAGAAACUGUCCAAAAGCAGAUUAUAAGGUUGUCUGUGUGGGUUUUUGUAUUUUUCCAUUGACCACUGCAAGAAGCUGAAUUGUAGGGAUCUGAAGAAAAGAACUGCCAUGCAAGAGCUUGAUGAUGACAGAUUUUCUAAAAUUAGUCAAGACUAGAGAAGCAGAGUGGAUGGAGCCAGACUGAUUGGAACCAAACUCAGUGUAGACAAGCCUAAGAGCUUCUGUCUUUGCUAUGCCUGAUCAUUGGCACACGAGGAGGAAGGGCCUUGCUGCUUGGGAGAGGAUUACUGCUGUCACCAUUGAGACAACUGAUCCAAACUGCGAUACUCCUACCUUAAGUUUGCCAACAUGAACCCCCCUAGAAGGAAGCUGUGAAGUGGAUGAAUUUACUGUGUACACUGCAUGAGUGCUGCAGGUUCCAUAGUAUUGGUGUGACCUGUUGGGAAAGUGUAUCAUUUUGGUGUUUAAUAACAAUUGCCAAAAUGGCCCAAGGAUGUGCUGGGAUUCUGAAGAUCUCAAAAAUCUUGUGAGGAAGAGCUGAAGGAGUUGAGCUUGUUCAGCCUUGAGAAGAGAUCUCAGAGAGAUCUCAUCAGCGUCUGUAAGUACCUGCAGGGAGGGUCUCAAGAGGAUGGAGCCAGGCAUCCAGUCACACCAUUCUUUUUGGUGGUGCCAAGCACAGGGACAAGAGGCGACAGAAAGACACUGAUGCAUGGAAGUUCCACCUGAGCACAAGAAAGAACUUGUUUACUGUGCAGGUACACUGGAACAGAUUUUCCAGAGAUGUGGUAGAGUCUCUCUCACUGGAGGUAUUCCAGAACCUUCUGGACAUAGUCCCUUGCUAUGUGCUCUGGGAUGAACCUGCUUGAGCAGGGAGGUUGGAGGAGCUGACCUGCUCUGGUCCCUGCCAAUCUGACCCAUUCUGUGAUUUGGUAAAUUCAGAUGUGUUGCUGAUUUGUAUGUGGGUUGUUCUGGCUCCCCUGAAGAUGAAAUGUGCUUUUUUGGGUGAGUUAUAUCUAAUGGACCUAAUUUCUACAGAGAUAUUUUUAAAAUAAACUUCAGAGUUCCAAAAUAUCUGUAGCACAGCAACAAAAUUGAAGUGAUGAGCUUUGCUGCUGUUUUAAUCCACUUUGUUUACCAGCAUCACACACUGGCAGGAGUAGAAACUCCACUUUUUUUCUUCUUCAAGCCAACCAAGUUCUGACCCAAAGGGCUUCACUCUACUUUCUGCUUGCCUUUGAGGAGGUGGAUUAGUGUCUUUGAGUGUGAAUGUUGUCUUUAUGGCUUAUGAGGAUAGCUUCCAGUAGCUGAUGAGUGGUUUGUCAAGGAAGAUCUCUGGGUAGCCUGAGAACAUUUAAUGGAUGCUGCCAGGUUUUGGGGGAGGA